rnacentral:rRNA from 1 species
AGCGAACGUUAGCGGCGGGCUUAACACAUGCAAGUCGAGCGAGAAAGGGGCUUCGGCCCUGAGUACAGCGGCGGACGGGUGAAUAACACGUAGGUAACCUUCCUUUCAGCGGGGGACAACGGUCCGAAAGGACCGCUAAUACCGCAUACGUUCCCUGGGACCUCGGUCCUGGGGAGGAAAGGCCCGCAAGGGCCACUGGAUGAGGGGCCUGCGUAGCAUCAGCUAGUUGGUGGGGUAAUGGCCUACCAAGGCGAAGACGCUUAGCUGGUCUGAGAGGAUGAUCAGCCACACUGGGACUGAGACACGGCCCAGACUCCUACGGAGGCAGCAUGGGGAAUAUUGGACAAUAGGGCGCAAGCCUGAUCCAGCACGCCGCGUGAGUGAUGAAGGCC